ensembl:lncRNA
GGAAACAGCUCUGGGAGUAGAAGGAGCUAGCCAACUGAAGGGUUCUGUCACCAUUUUGAGAAUGAAUCAAAAUAACAUUUCAAAUUCUUUAAUAUUAAAAUUCUUCUUUUCUUCCUCUCAGCCAGCUGGUGCAUCACUUUUUUCCAUUUCAUAGCUAAUUCAUAAUGGUUAUAAGAAAAUACUACCAUGGUACUAGUUCCCUGAGUUGCUACAUAAGCAGGGGCCCAUGAUGAAGGGAGUGUUUUCUGAGCGAUGUGUUAGAGUCAAGGCAACGAUGCUUGUGUUUGAAUCUCUGCUGAAAGAUAUAAUAUCAGUCUUGGUGAGCUCUUCAUGUUUAAAAGAAGAGGAAGUUUUCCUUCACCUUGAAGAAACUUUGGACCCAUACUUACCUGUUGGUGCCAGGAGUUGGUGUUUCAUUUGCUGGAAAGCUUCCAGAGAGCUCUGCGCUCCUGUCAGACCCAUGGUUCCCUGGCUGGAGAGAGUGGAAUGACAUACAGAACCUCAACAGUGCAAGAAAUGGGCACUGAGUGAUGUCUGGAAGAUGGAGUGGCCAUCUCCAAAACAGCCACAGGUUGCCCUCACACUCAUGGCCAUUCACAAUCUCUCUGCACAGAGGCAAACCAGCCAUUCUGCUCCAAGCACCAAGUUUAAGUGAAGGCAUACAAGCAGAGAUUCUUCAUACUCAGAAGACUCAUCUGAAGUUCAUUCUUGAAACCUGUAAGUCACAAGAGGAAAAGAACAUGGGAGUGAGAGACAAAUCUGAGGAAGGAGGAAUUAUGACUAAUAAGAAGAAAGGAGGAAAAUAUUUUCAGGAUGGAAAAGUCAACAGCUUUUAGUAAGAGACAUUUUUCUUUUAAAAGAUUACAUUCAAUUUCCAAUCACAAAAAAAAAAUUAAAUGUUAGUACAUGGCAAAGUGUGCAUGUAUGGUUGUGAACAGUGAUUAUAAUAACACGCUCUUAAAGAUUCUGAAGAAUCUGUGGUUCCCACUUGCUUCAGUCGUGGAUCUGGAUCCCUACAGUUCCCAGCCCCUGUCUUUAAACAGUGACUCAUUUUCCAGACAAAAGACAGGCACUAUAACUGCACAAGAUCAAUGGUAUAUGCACUUAUAUUAGCUGAGUGGUGGGACGUGUUCUGCUUGGUUUUGACCUGUAGGUGCCAUACCCAGCACCACCUGUCAGCGUAUCAGCAACCAGCAUCCACCAAGCUCAGCUAUUGAUUGUUCCCAACAACAGCCACACAGAUUAAUAUUGUUUUUUGUCAUCCUUCUCUUCUAAACUCUUUUAUGAGGAAUGUUCUCAUAUUCAGCAGUAUUCUGGGAAGCACCAUUCCAAGGCUUACCUCCAGUUUAUACUACACUUCAUAUAUCUGCUCUGACUGCAGAAGUAGAUUAAAG